GAUGAACGCUGGCGGCGUGCCUAAUACAUGCAAGUCGAGCGAACAGAUGAGGAGCUUGCUCCUCUGACGUUAGCGGCGGACGGGUGAGUAACACGUGGAUAACCUACCUAUAAGACUGGGAUAACUUCGGGAAACCGGAGCUAAUACCGGAUAAUAUAUUGAACCGCAUGGUUCAAUAGUGAAAGACGGUUUUGCUGUCACUUAUAGAUGGAUCCGCGCCGCAUUAGCUAGUUGGUAAGGUAACGGCUUACCAAGGCAGCGAUGCGUAGCCGACCUGAGAGGGUGAUCGGCCACACUGGAACUGAGACACGGUCCAGACUCCUACGGGAGGCAGCAGUAGGGAAUCUUCCGCAAUGGGCGAAAGCCUGACGGAGCAACGCCGCGUGAGUGAUGAAGGUCUUCGGAUCGUAAAACUCUGUUAUUAGGGAAGAACAAAUGUGUAAGUAACUAUGCACGUCUUGACGGUACCUAAUCAGAAAGCCACGGCUAACUACGCG
rnacentral:rRNA from 1 species